rnacentral:lncRNA from 1 species
ACGCUGGUAACGUCGUCUCCUGGCCGGGGAACAGCGGCGGCGGUGGUCGCCGAUCGGGAAGCGGGACGAUGGUGGGCGCUGGCUGGAGAACAGCAGCGGCGGGUGGACUGGCCGGAAGCAGGGGAUGGGGUGGCUGCGGCUUCUUCUUCCUCUCGUGUUUUUCUUUUCUUUUUUCUUUCGUUUCUUUUUUUUUUUUGCUGCUCUGAUACCAAAUGAUAAGACCCUAAAGUCUUAUCGUAGGCUCUGAUACCAAAUGAUAAGACCCUAAAGUCUUAUCGUAGGCUCUGAUACCAA